GACGAACGCUGGCGGCGUGCCUAACACAUGCAAGUCGAGCGGGGUUGAAGCGAGAGGUAACUCGAACUUCUACCUAGCGGCGGACGGGUGAGUAACGCGUGGGCAACCUGCCUCAAGGUCUGGGAUAACAGCCCGAAAGGGCUGCUAAUACCGGGUAUGCUUGUGGCCUCGCAUGGGGCUACGAGCAAAGGGGAAACCCGCCUUGAGAUGGGCCCGCGUCCCAUCAGCUAGUUGGUGAGGUAACAGCUCACCAAGGCGACGACGGGUAGCCGGCCUGAGAGGGUGACCGGCCACACUGGGACUGAGACACGGCCCAGACUCCUACGGGGGGCAGCAGUGGGGGAUCUUGCACAAUGGGCGAAAGCCUGAUGCAGCGACGCCGCGUGAGCGAAGAAGGCCUUCGGGUUGUAAAGCUCUGUCUGGAGGGACGAAGGAAGUGGACGGUACCUCCCGGAGGGAAGCCACGGCUAACUACGUG
rnacentral:rRNA from 1 species